AAACAGACAGAACUGUGCUGUGCCCUAUGCUCCAGAUCUUUCUCCAGCUUUCAUUUCAUUGUGCAAGAAGCUAAAGAAGGGGUGGGAGAUGGGAUCAUGACUGCCCCAAGCCCACCCCUGCUGCUGGAACUGUUUAUUCAUGUGGGGCAGUAGACGGAAAGUCACCUGAACAGACGUGGGGCUUCCCUUGAUUAUUUGUUUUUUGCUGUAGGGCUAAGCAACUGAAGAGAAAUGAACUGGAGGUUAAAUUUUAACGUAUCUGCGGGAAGGCAGCUGUUUCAUUCUGUACAUUUUCAGAGAUUAGCAGGAUGGAGGAAUCUCUGCAUCUGCGCUCAACAGCAUCAUUACAGAAGCUCUUCUGCUUCUACAGCUUGCAGAAAUUUAGUUUCAUUGGGAUCUGUCUUCUGUCCCCCAAAUGGAAACUUUUUGCUGAAGAAACCUCCAGAAAACAGCACAGAAAAGCUGGCAAGCGUCUCUGGAGAGAGGAUCCAGGGAGCAAGACAUUUUUCCUUAUCCAGUACUCCAAUGGUGUUCUUUGGAGCUGGCAGAGGGGGAAAUAAUUGUGGAAAGGUGAAAUUCACUCUCAAAGAUGUGACAGAAUUAAUUCAAAAGAAAGAGUGCCACAGGAUAGUAGUGAUGGCUGGAGCAGGGCUUAGCACUCCCAGUGGCAUCCCAGAUUUCCGGUCCCCUAGGAGCGGCCUCUAUGAUAACCUCCAGCAGUAUAAUAUUCCCUAUCCAGAGGCCAUCUUUGAACUUAGCUAUUUCUUCCAGAAUCCGAAGCCUUUCUACAUGUUGGCCAAGGAAUUGUACCCUGGCAGUUACAGGCCCAACUAUACCCACUACUUCCUUCGACUUCUGCUUGACAAAGGGCUUCUACUGCGUCUGUACACACAGAAUAUUGAUGGACUGGAGAGAGUUGCUGGAAUACCUGCAGAUAAACUAGUUGAGGCUCAUGGUACAUUUGCUUCUGCAACAUGUACAGUUUGUCGAAGAUCAUACCCUGGUGAAGACUUUAGGGCAGAUGUGAUGGCUGACAAGAUCCCCCAAUGCCCAAUAUGCACUGGACUCAUCAAGCCUGACAUCGUAUUCUUUGGAGAGGAGCUCCCCCAUCGGUUCUUCUUGCAUGUGACAGAUUUCCCAAUGGCAGACCUGCUCUUUGUCAUUGGAACCUCCCUUGAGGUGGAACCUUUUGCCAGUCUAGCAGGUGCAGUUCGAAGCUCCGUUCCACGCUUAUUGAUCAAUCGGGACUUGGUGGGUCCAUUUGCAUAUCAGCCACAAUACAGUGAUGUAGCUGAACUGGGAGAUGUUGUCAGUGGAGUCGAGAAGGUGGUGGCUCUUUUGGGCUGGAAGGAGGAGUUGCAGGAACUAAUCAAGAAGGAAACCGAAAAGUUGGAUGCAAAAGACAAAUAGGAACUCUGACCUCUGCUGCUGAAAAUAUUUGUCUCCUAAAAGAACUGUCAGCCCAGUUGAAUGUUGCGCUUAUAAAAGCAGAGACAUGGAGGUUGCCUGAGGCAUUUUUCGUCCUUCAAAUAAUUGUCCCACUUACAUACAGGAAGUUUUGCUGAAUUCUCGGAACAUCAAUGAGUUGAAAACUUUUUCUUUGAAAUAUAAACAGACUUUAGCGAGUCUUCUCAUAUUACAAAAAUUUUGAUUAGUAAAUGGAAGAGAGGUGUCACUUGUAAUAUCACCAUUCAUGUGCCCUGGGUCCAGUUACAUUACAGCUUAUAUCGGAUAUAUUAAAUCCAUUUUGGUUUUGGUUUUUUGUACAGCAUCAAUAGAUACAUUGCAAGAAACAGCAAGGCCCCAGUCUAUGCAGAGCCCCACAUAUAUUUUCUAAAUUGUGACAAUCAGCUGUUGGAAAAGGAAAGGGGGAAGUUUAGCCAGCCCCAUAGAUACAUCCCAAACAGUUGAUCAACAUUAAGAGUGUUUCUAACUGAGAUUUCUGUGUACAUAUGGCUCCAUAUGGAAUCAUAACAAAAAGAUUGUUUGUGAAACACCUUUUGUUAUUACAGUAGUACAGUAAAACUGAACUCGAAUCAAUACACUUGGAUACAAAACAUCCACACUAAGUGCUAAGUUAAAUUCUGUGCUUUUAAUUACUCCCCAAGUCAAAGUCAUGUAAACCUGAGAUUACCUGAUUCUUGUGCUUUUAGUAAGACAGACAAGUCCCCUCCGCCCCCACAAGCUGGAAGAGCAAUACUGAUUUCUCUCCAAUUAGCAUCUUACCUUAGAUACUAGAUUAAAACAAAUUAUUUCCUGAAGUGGCCAGGAAGUCUUUGCAAAGAGCCUCUAAUAGCACAUUUAAAUGACUAGAUUUGUUUAUCUGGAUAUAUGAUUUAAAUAUUGGAUCUUGAGUAGGUAAGUCAUUCAAACAAGGUAAUGAAACAGCACACCUGUUUGUACUCAUUAUCCAUUAAAGCACAGAAAACUUAUUGAGAUAAGAGUAUUCAUUGCCUUCAGUUUCAAAACUGAUCUCAUUUGUCAGACAAAAUAAUAAUUUCCUCUGUUUUGCAACAGUGAUGAAUAAUAAAUAGUUUGUGCACUUCAACCUCCUUUAUGUGGAUGAUGGGACACAGGAUAAGACUGGGAAGAGCAAGAUUCAAGUCCAGUAGCACCUGACAGCCCCCCCCCUCAACCUUAGAGAACUCCUCACAACAAUGCACUUCCCAAUGUGGACAUGAACUCAGGAACCAGGGCCUGCAAUAAACAAAGAUGCCAGCUCUGUCCCCAUAUUCACUCCAAUAAUACAAUCACUGGACCUAACAGCACCAGCUAUACCAUCUCAGGCUCAUUCACUUAUUCAUCUUUCAACAUUAUACAUGCCAUUAAAUGUCAGCAAUGCC